CCCGGGCAUAUAUGUAAACAUUUUUGGAAUACGGAUUUGGCAAUCGGCGUGACAUAGCUGGAGCGUCACAAUUGAUCAAGAUGUAGAGGUUAAACCAAUGAAAGGGGGGGAAAGAGAAAACAACCCUCCAGAGUGGGAGGCUUUGAGGUUGGAGCAGCAGUCCAGGAAUGGACUCCAGAGGAUAUAGAUUAUUGGAACCUGACUCCUGCCUCCGCUUCACU